rnacentral:tRNA from 1 species
GGAUCCUUAGCUCAUUUGGUUCAGAGCAUCUGCCUUACAAGCAGAAGUCGUUCCGAUGUGCUAUCGGAACAGGCUCCA